rnacentral:lncRNA from 1 species
GUGAUUUUUGUUCUUUAGUAGAAGGAUAACAUGACAUAGCAGGAAUAAUACUGCCUUUUCUUUCUGGCAUGGAUCAAGAGAAAAGAAAAUACAAGAAAACAGACAGAAGAUCCUAUCUGCGACAAUUAAGAGCACUCUAAGAGGAAAACACAUCCCACCACACAAGGCAAGGUACUUCUAUGGAAGGGUGAGCCCUCACAGAUGGAGCAAUGGGGCGCGCACACCUGAACAAGGGAGGGGAAGGAGUUCUUAUCCCUGAUGCAUGUGACCCCUGCUGCUGUGUCCUUCCCCUAUUGGCUAAGGCUUCUGACAGCUUUGGAGAUUGUGACAUUGGAAUAAAGGAAAAACGUACAGGACUCAUGAAGCGCUGAAAUGUUCACAAAUAUCAAGCAAAAGUCAAUGAAAUUUAUUUUGAGCUAUUUACAUCAUUUAAUAAUUGAGCAAGGUAUACUCCUAUGAACAAAAUUUGGAGCAUGUUUGUCUCUCUCUGCCUGGCGUCUUCAGAAUUUGGAAACUAGUUAUGGUUUAUAAUCAGCUAUAGAAUUUUAACACGUGCUCUCAAAUGCAAGUUUCUGAUAACUUUGGAGAUUGUGACAUUGGAAUAAAGGAAGAGCUGGAAUGUUCAUGAAUAUCAAGCAAAAGUCAUGGAAAUUUAUUUUGAGCUAUUUACAGCAUUUAAUAAUUGAGCAAGGUAUACUCCUAUGAACAAAAUUUGGAGCAUGUUUGUCUCUCUCUGUCUGCCUGGCAUCUACAGAAUUUGGAAACUAGUUGUGCUGUACUGCAUGAGAAUGCCUGCAUUUAGUAUGCGAACUGGAAUUGGCAAAGGACGAUGGCUGCUCUCCCGCUAACUUUAAAUAAGUCAUGUCACAAAUUGCAUUCGUUCCCAGAUUUCCUAAACUUUCCAGAGAAAAUGGUCUUCUCCCUGGCUCAGCAAGAAGAUGAACUUUAAACACUGAGAAACUGGUCAUCUCCCUGGCUCAACCAGAAGAUGAACUUUAAACACUACUCUCAAUGACUUGAUGUUCCCAUCACUACUCCUGUCAUAAAGGGAGGGGACUCAGAUAUUGAGAAUUUUAUGAUAGUGUGAACUGUCUGGUAUGUCAUUUAAGUAAGCCCGUUGCUGAAAUAUUUUCCAUGUUAUUAGAAAGAGCUGAAGAGAGGGAUUGAGAUGGCUUCUUUAUUUUUUGUCUUUUGGGAAUUAAAGGAACCUGGUUCAACAAGGGCCUACACCUAAGUCUCUUGUUGUACCAGAGUACAAUUUAGGACUGCUCCUGAGGAAGGAAUUAGCUAGAAAUCUAGAGAGUAAGGGUAACAGAUUUACAUAGAAUAACAGCCUCAGUAUUUUUGGUUCCUCUCCAGUAAAGAUCACAAAGAAUAUUGCUAAAUCGCUAAAACACCUUUGCAAUAACGUAAGGGCUUACAACUAUAUACCAAUGUAGCUCAGUUACUAAACUGGAGUAAACUAAUUUCUCUUGUGUAGAAAAAUUGGUUGGCUGUGGUUUUAUAGCAGAUCUGCAAUUAUUAAUAGUUAUGCCAAUAAUCGUUUAACAGUGCAUAUGUUAAUAUAUAUGGAAAGACAAUGUGUAUAGACAGAUGUGUAAAAUUGAAAAAUAAACAUAUAACAAGAGAGAAACAUCUAUCGAACAGACAAUAUACAUACACAUCAAACACAACAGCAGUUUUAGUGACCAUAAUAUUUAUUUCUCAUUUUUACAUUGCUUACUUUAGUGACAACUGAAAAUGACAGUUGGCAAUGCAGCUAACAGUUUCAAUAAAAGUAUAAAACAAAAGACUGUGUACAAAGCACCUGUCUUUCCGCUUUUGUAAUCUUCCGUUGGAAAAAAUUUACACACCUAAGUAACCAUCUGUUUUCUUCAAGAAAAAAUCAUUCUUAUUUCUCUCUCUCAUCUUGAAAACAGCUGUCAGCCAGGAGGGCAGAGCUGAAAUUUAUUGCCACAUCACAUGAAGCAUAGAACAGACUCCACUACUCCUUGAGAUUCAAAACUUUGCCUCUCACAAAGUUACCUUUUAUUUUCCUCUUGUUUGUCACUCAUCUCCCCUAGUGUGCUCUUUUUAUUUCUUUUACUAUUAAUAAUAAAAUCUGUGGAUGACUGUAUUAU